CUCGCGCUGGCCGCCACCCCCGUCCCCCAGCGGACUGUCGCUCCCCCUGGAAGAGGGCCGGGGAGCGUGUGGCCGCUGAGCGGGUUGGCCGCUCUCUGCUCCCCAGCCAGGGGUGCGCCCGCAGCCCGGGGUCUCGCUGGUGCGCGUGAUGACUAAAGCUUUUUUCCCCAUCAGAGCGACAGUGUUGAUUUCGCUACUCUAAGCCAGAUUGUGUCUGAUGCACCAGCCCGGGGAGGCGGCCUUUGCUUUGCUCCCGCCGGCUGGUCAGCGAGGCUAAAUCUCUUUCGCCUCUUCGGUCUUCUGCUUCUCAGGUCCAGCAAGCAGGAGCGAGCAACAUGUGCUGGAGACCUGGCCUGGUAGCGCAAGGCCAGGCGCGGCCCCAGGAGAGAACCAGCAGGAAGCACCGUUUCUCUAGUUAUGAACCCACUGUGUCCAUUGCCCCUCGUGGAGGAGGCAGCGGGACUAUUACGUUGUCCAUAGACGUAGACUUGAGGAUCAUCUUAAGGUGAAGGAGCUGUCAAUGUCAGCACGAAGCAGAAAUUGCACUGUGAAGUAGCAGAAAGUUCUCCUGUUAC
ensembl:lncRNA